AAGUACUUGUUUAACUUAUUGUUCUUGUUUCUUCUUUAAAUUUUGAUUCCUUUUCUAUUAUACAUGUUAGUUCAACACCAUAUCUUUUAUGGUGUUUGCUUUUUUUUUUUGGUGUGUUUAUGCAACCCAAUAGAUGUUUCUAAUACUUCUUUAAUAGCCCUUGUCCUUGUGCUCUCCAACUUCAUAGACUAUAGGAUAACUUUUUUUUGUUGCAUCUUUGAACUACUUUAAAUGUUGAGCUAGUUGCUAAAUUCAAGUAUCUUAACAACACAUUUUUCUAUCUAGCCUCACCUUUUACAUAGCAUCAUUUUGGGUAGAAGCAUAGAUAAUGAAAUUGGGGGAAAAACACAUGCCUAUGGAAAACAUCAUUCAUAUUGAUCAUGAGGUCUUGGGGUCGAAACUCGGCGUGACCGAGUAUAACCUCCCCCAUGUCUUGGCCAUUUGCACUAAUGGCUAGUAGCCACCCGUGAUUUACCUCCUCUGUGUUGGCCUAGGGACGGAUUGGCGGGGGUGCUGGGGACGAGCGAAUCGCCUUUUGCCACAUAGAAGUCCACACUUAAACAAUUGAAUCAGAGUAAAAAAUAAAACUUGAUGAUGAAUCAUAUUAUCUCCAAUGAAAGAUGGAGAUAAUAACAAUCUUUAUAAACAAUUCUACUUAGAUGUUCAUCUAUGGCUAUUCAUAAUCAUUAAGUGUAGGUUGAGGAAUUAAAAAUAUUCUGAUAAUGUAUGAAUUUGAUCAUUGGAGUCAAAAUUUAAUUAAUAUAAAUUAAAAAAUAGAUUGUUAUAAAAAAUAAUGUCAUUUUGAUUUUACUACAAUGUUUUUUUAUUUUAACAAUUAUUUCAAUAUUACAGACAUAUGAAUAUGUAUACCUAAGUUUUUAUUGGGGAGUAGCACAAUGUUUUGGAGUUGAGUUUUAAUAAUAAUUGUAAGAACCUUAGCACGAAUACAAUGGAUCAUUAUUUGAAUAAAUAUGUUUAUAUAGGUAGAAUAUGGUUUUUAUCUCUUUUUAAGGAUUCAAAAAUAUUUAGGGCUAAAUAGCCUUUAGGAAGGUUUAAUUUGUUCAAUCAGAUUGGAUGAUUUUGCCGCCCUAUAAGAAUUUCGUACCUAAGCAUGCUAGUUGUGGAAUAAUCUAGAAUAGUGAAUCUUUCACUUUAUAGUUAAAUCUCACCAUGCAACAAAUUUCUGAAAUAUAGGACCUUGAUGUUGGUAAGACCACACCUUUUGGAUGGUUAGGUUUUUCACAAUAAGUUCAUAAUUAAGCACCCUUGUUUUGAAACAAUUAGGGAUGUGUGAUCUGUUGGAAAGCUCGUCACUGGUACUAUUUUUGUUCAAUUGAGCAUGUUGUGUCUUAUAAUGUGCUUAUCUUUGAAGUUGUUUAUGCAUUACUUUGUUUUAGACGUCUAUUUGUCUUAUUUAUUGUAAUUUUUACAAAUAGUGGUUGUUGCCAUGUGCAAGUAAAAUUAGACAAAAGUCUCACUAUAAGUUUUUCAUUCCUUCUGUUUCUUCAUUUAACUAAUUUUGUUACUACCCAUUUGUGUUUUUUUUCAUAGUCUCAUUAUUUCAAUUUUUUAUACUCAUAAUUGACUUAUGUCGAAUUGUUGUUGUUGUUCUAAUAUUUUCUUGGCUUUGUAAAUGUUGGCUAGCUAACCAUUGUAUGCUAUUUUUGUUUCCUCAUAGUUGUUAGCCUAGCAUUAUGGUUAUCCACACCCAUAGUCGUUAGUUGGGCUUGAGGGUUGAGUGUUAGAUAUUAUUGCCUCGCCUAGGUUUGCUUCAAAUAUCUUUUUCUUAACCUUCUUGAUAUUGUUUUCAAGCGAAAUAACUCUAUCGUGUUUACAAUCAACCCUACCAUUAUUAUGAAAUAGAACUUAAACUUGAUUUCUCAAGAAUCUCUAGCUUUAAACUUUGUCAUAUAAAGUAUGCAAAGAAUAAAACUGUAAUUGAUGUAUCAACCUUAAUAGUUGCGUGCCAAUACUCUCCUAUAGCUCUUUAAUCAUUGAGAAACUCAAGUAAAGCUCAUGUUCGCAAUAACAGAUGGUAUUUCUCUCUUUUCAAGUGAUCAUAAUUCAAAGUCUUGGAAUCUUAUUGAAUUCUGUAGAGUUGAAACAGAAUUCUGAAAUUGGAAUGCAUGAAUUGCUUACACUUCAUUGAAUCUGAUCUCUGGAAUUUUUAAACCUUCGGCAGCUACAAUUCCUUGAAUUCUUGCUGAAUUUGAUUUCUGAAUUAUUCAUAUGCAGAAGUUUUGGCACACUGCAGCUGCAAGCUAGUACACAGGAAUUUCAAAAUUUAGCAAAGCUCAAAACACUAGGAUAGCAUGAGCCUCUAUGUACUCGAACAACUGGUGCACAUACAUAGAGAUUAUUGCAGAAUAUCAUGUCUCACUCAAUGAAGUUGUUUCUAAUGAAUCAAAUGCAAAGAGUGUACAGGGUGAAAGUUUUGUGCAUAAGAUGGAGCAAUUUUCUAAUUGUUUGGGGAAGUAUUUGUAAGUUGUUCUUUUUGCUUUCGGGAUAUGUUUAUAUUUGUUAUUGAUAUCUCAUAAUUUUUUAUGAUUUAUUUGUUAUUCUUGCAUAGUAAAAAUAUAGAUAGAUGACUUAUUACAAUGAAGAUUUAGCAAAAGAUGUUCUCAUGUCAUCAUCCCUAUUUAAAACAUAGCUUGUUCAAUUAGUGGAGUUUUUGCUGAACUCAAUUUCUGAAUGUCUGAAACUCCUUUGAAACAAGUGCUCAUCUGAAUAUGAAGUAGGCAACUGUCCGGAAACUGAACUUUGGAUUCCCUGAUUUCAGAAAUAUUUGCUCUAGAGUCCAUGUGCCUAUUUUUAUUGCAUUUUCUGACCAAAGACAACUUGAAUUCAAGCUCCUGCCAACCCAUUGCUGAGUGGCAUGCUUUCUUCUGCAAAAUUACAUAGGAUUACAGCCUUCAAUUCCUGUCGAAUCAAAAUUCUGAAAUUGAAAUUUGAAGCAACAAAAGUUUAGACAUUAGUUUCAUUUCUGAAUUUUUUUUUGGACAUGGAUUGUGAAUAUGCUUUCCGACUCUCUGAAAUGAAGGAUAUCCUUAAACUUGGAUCCAGAUCUGAGUUCUGAAAUCCUGAAACUAUUUGGCAGCUCAAUUUAUUAAAUACCUGCUAAACUUAGCUGAGUUCUGAAUUCUGCUAUUGGACUUGCCAAGCUCUUGAGGUAGUUUCUUAUCAGUAAGUUCUGAAAGAAACACUCAAUAUUCCAUUAUCCUAUGGUGGGGUUUUUCACCCAAGCCGUGAUUCAAAAUCAGGAAAAGUCCUGGCAGCCGAUUUCUGAAACUAAAUCCAGAAGGGAAAAAUCAUGCUACUGCUGAGGAACAAGGGUUCUGUGUGCCAACUUUGAGUGAAGUUCCUUACAAGCAAUAAAUUAGAAUUAAGCUCCUACCUUUCUAGUGUCAAUUGAGGCUACUUUCCCUCUAAAUCUUCCGUGAUCAAGAAACCACAGCUCCCUUAAAUCUGAUUCUUGAAACAGGGCAGGAAUUGAGGAAUUUAAUGUAAUAUGUUAUGGAGGAGCUAAAUGCCAUGGUCUCAUGUAACAAUUAAUGUUCAAGGUUUAGCAACACCAGAUCAAAAAUGUUGAAUUCUGAAUAGCAGAAAAUUUGACAGGGCUUGGACAAAAACAAGGUGUUAGUUCUUAUUUCAGCAGGGAAAUCCAUGAUUAAAGAUUACAGGAAAAGAAGAAUACUGCAAUUCUGAUUAGUGAUGACCUUAAAAGAAGUUUUUAUCCUUCAUUUUCCAUUUCGUAUUAUGUUCUCCCCAAGCUCCUCGAGAAAUUAUCAGAGUCAGAUUCCUGAAACUCAUCAAAAGGAACUGAUUUCUGAGUUUCAGAAAUCUGGAGAAGAUGGUUACUGCCCUUCGAACUGUGAUGCUGCUGUGAAACCAAAUUUUGGUUACCUUACCAACUAUAAAGAUGAGUGUAUCUUUCCAACUAAGCGAGGGAAUAGUGCCAUUUUAACUGAAUUGAAGGAAUCUGAAUUCUGAAACUCUCAAAAUUCUCUGGAAUUUGUUUUCGGAAACCACUGCAGGGCAGUACUCUGAUUCUGGCAUUCAAUUUUAACUAGCUAAAAUUGUGUUGGUUCUCCAUCUGUGUAACAUGAAGAGAAGGAUGAGUAUUCUCUGCUAAGAAGGAAAGAAAAGAAGAGAGGAAAUAUGUUAGUUAGAGCCCUAGAGUCAAUCAUUUGAUGAUUAUUGUAUGGACUCAUUGUAUCAUAU